UACGUAGGCUGCCUUGAAGGUGAGAUGUGAAAUCCCAUGGCUCAACCAUGGAACUGCAUUUCAAACCACAAGGCUUGAGGAAGACAGGGGUAAGCGGAACUGAUGGUGGAGCGGUGAAAUGCGUUGAUAUCAUCAGGAACACCGGUGGCGAAGGCGGCUUACUGGGUCUUUUCUGACGCUGAGGUACGAAAGCUAGGGUAGCGAACAGGAUUAGAUACCCUGGUAGUCC
rnacentral:rRNA from 1 species